rnacentral:tRNA from 1 species
GCCCAGGUAGCUCAGUGGGUAGAGCACUUCCUUGGUAAGGAAGAGGGCACCGGUUCGAGUCCGGUCCUGGGCUCUA